rnacentral:rRNA from 1 species
UACGGAGGGUGCGAGCGUUGUCCGGAAUCAUUGGGCGUAAAGGGCGCGUAGGUGGCCCGGUCAGUUCGUGGUGAAAGCGCGGGGCUCAACCCUGCGUCGGCCAUGAAUACUGCCGCGGCUGGAGCACUGUAGAGGCAGGCGGAAUUCCGGGUGUAGCGGUGGAAUGCGUAGAGAUCCGGAAGAACACCGGUGGCGAAGGCGGCCUGCUGGGCAGUGCUGGACACUGAGGCGCGACAGCGUGGGGAGCAAACAGG